rnacentral:lncRNA from 1 species
GUCCACUAUAUAGUGUUAUAUGGUUGGUUCAAUGUAUUUAUGUCAACUGUAGCUCACAGUCCUGUUUAAAACAUAUAUAAACUUUAUUAAAACUAAACAAACGGUGCAUCUUGGUGAUGUAAGAGAGCAUGGUUGAAUAUGGUAUAGUUGAAUUAAGCCCUCCUUUGAGAGAAAUGCCCCACACUGGUACGGUUUACUGUAAACGAGGCUUGUUAGCAAACCGCUGGCUGUGGAGCUCACGGUGCAGUGAGCAGGGCUGCGUGGGGCUGCAUGCGUGGGCAGCCAUGACACAAAUGACUCAGCAUUUUGCUACCCAGCAGAAAAUAAAAAAAAAUCCCUUAAUAAAUUUUACUCUGAACGUACAACUUUUAGUUCAGACAAUUGAACUCUCACUUAAAAUAACCGAUUCUUUAAUAGCGCUAGUCUUAGAGUUUAGACUGGGUGUGAAAAGUGCUUACAGAACUGUGGCAGAAGCUGCCAGAGCUCCGGCAGGCACUGUGUGGGCUUCAGUAGCAGAGUCGUCGUGCAGGCUGCGCCCAAAAAGGUCGCCGGAGGAAGAGCCGGGCCGAGUGAGGAAACGGACGGCUGCUAUGGCUUCAGGCCGCUGAAAUGGUGCUGGAGUGAGUCACGGCAUCAGGAGACAUCCUGAGAUAUUAACCCCCCCAUCCAACAAUGUGCGCCGCCGCUGACUGCAGGCGCCAGAAGUUGUCAGACCAUCAAAUGACCCGUAUUUUAACACGUACCAUCUUUCCGCCUCAGGGGUCAAAUAUCCAGACUUCAUUUAAUUCUGCCCUGCUUUCACUGUACAAAACUGCACUGUAUGUAUUAUUAGGUGCAUUUUUCUCUCCUUAAGGUCCAAAGAUAAUUUAUUGUUUAAAAAAUUAUUUGUUAACUUUUAAACUUUUUUUUUUUUUAUGUUUUUGUGUGGACACAGAAAUAACUGUGAUAACUGUGAUAUUUUUGUUAAUUUGAGUUUUGUUCAUUUCAUGCCCCUGAAAUAACGAUAAUUUAUUAACAUAAUUUAAUACAGUUACAUUUUAAUUAAAAUACAAUAAUAACAGUAAUAAUAAAACAAAUACUACAUUCUGGCUAUUUACA